CUUGAUUGCUCCCUAAUUAAAAUUAUUCUUCCAUCAAAAACAUAUCAAACAACAUAUUAGACAUUAAGUCAUACACCAUAUAGAAUAGGCUUAAUCAUCUCAUAAAUUAACAAAAAUCUUGGAAGAGAAUACAUACCUCUUGAUCAGAGUGUUCUUCCUCUUAAUUCUUCCAAAUUAGCCUCCUAAAUUUGAUCUAAUUCACAAAUCAUAGCUUUGUUGAGUUUAGGAGAGUGAAAAUGUAAGAAUAAGAGAGAGAUGUGAGUGAAAAAGAGUCUGAGAGUUUAAAAGAUUGAACGUUUGAAAUAGGGCAUUCUCAGCCCUUGAUUAGUAAUGGUUGAAAUCUGACCGUUAUCGAUCGUUACAAGUCAGUAAUGGUCGGAUUUUGAUUGUAACCACCCGAUACAGAUCCUGUAUCACUCGAUACGAGGUCCAGUGACCGGUAUUGCUCGAUAGAGGGUGGUUCGUAUAUCUGUAUGUACUGCACGUACCGGGUGGUAUACAUCGGUACAACAAACCCUACUUAUUUGUUUUGUAACUCUUUAUAGCUCGAAGCCGAAGAUGAGAUUUCUGCCCACAUUGUAGCUCUUCGUGCUUAUUUCUUUUCAUUCCUUUUUCCUCUUUUGUCCUUGCUCUUCUUUGAGCUGCACCUUUUCAUAUUUCACAUUUAAUUUGACCUUGUAUUAGUGUUUGUCUUUGCCUUUCUUUUGAUGGGGGCCUUGCCCUUUUUAGCUUUCUGUUUUCUUUUUUUUUGGUGCAAAAAGGCAAGAAUAGUAUUGAUAUAAAGAAAAAGGAUAUACUACAAUGUAGCAUGGACUCGUUCCACUACGACAGAGCAUAGGGACAAAAAGAGACAGACCAAAGCCUAUGAAACAAAGGCAGCAUACAAAGUAAUAUAAAGUAAGGCCCUAUCAACAAUCAAAAUAAAAAUAAAAAUCAUAUAGAAUGUCUCCCACUCUGCACUCUGCUUAUCUCUUAGAGGCAUGUUACUUUUCCACACUGAGUUGAAGGUUGGCAAAUGUAGAAUUUCCAUCUUCUUCCACCUCAGAGUCAUCAACCACAUAAGUACUCGUGAGGGCGUCAUAUCUAUUAGAGGUUGUCAUGGUGUUAGAACCCUAGCAGAUUCUAAACUUGAGGUUAAUCUCUUUAAGGGAUCGGCCUCCUUGGAACUCUAUAGGGGUUCCUUCCUCCAAGUUGCUGCUCAAAGGCUGCUAAGAAGAUUCAUCUAUUGCUUGUCAAAAUAGGAUGAAUACAUGACUAUUUAUAGGGCUUCUAAACCCUAACUCCUAAUAGGACUCCUACUCAAGACUCUUACUUUUAACCAACUCCUAAUAAGACUCAUACUCUAAAAAGCAACCUCCCAACUAACCCUAACCCUAGCAGGCCUCUUCACCUCUUUAAUAGGGGUCGACUAUGUAGGUUUUACAUGAAUUCCCCUUUCAAUAAGAUUCAAUUAGGACUCUCCAAGCUAGAGUCCUAACAGACCCACCCUCUUUAAAUCAGCCUUGUCCUCGAGGCUGACGAUUCAUGAAUUUUGGGAAUUUGAUCUUCAAGUCGUCAUAGUUCUCCCAAGUGGCAUCUUCUGCUGGUAGGUUCGCCCACUGUAUUAGCACUUCAGUGGUGGGUUGUCGUCGUCGGGUCACCAUUCGUCGAUUAAUAAUGGCACUCGGUUGGGUUUGGAGUUCUCCUUGGGUAGUCAUAUUUAGUAGAUGGCUUUGGGCUGUCUCGUUUUGUCCCAGCUUGAGCUUUAAACAUGACACAUGGAAGACUGGAUGGAUUCGAGAGCUAACGGGUAAGUCCAAUCUGUAUGCUAUCGCUUCGAUGAGCUCCAAAAUUUGGUAGGGUCCAUAGAACCGAGGUGAAAGCUUCAUAGAUGCUUUGGUCUGGAUUGAUGUUUGCUUGUAUGGCUGGAGCCGUAGGAAGACCUAAUCUCCUACUAAAAAUUCUCUUUCGCCUUUGUGUUGAUCAUAUUGCUGUUUUAUACUUGCUUGGGCUGCAUUGAGAUUAUCUUUUAGUAACUUUAGCAUUUUAUCUCUGUCCUAUAGUUCCCUGUCUACUUGUUCUACUUUAGAGGUGUCCAACACAUAUUUUGGAAUCACAGGGGGAGGUCGGUCAUACAUAGCCUCAUAGGGAGUACAUUUUGUGGAUAAAUGAUAAGUUGUAUUAUACCACCACUCGGCUCAGGGGAAGCCACUUUGUCCACUCUUUUGGCCGGUCACUGGUGAAGCAUCUGAGGUAUGUCUCCAAGCACCUGUUCACCACUUCAGUCUGGCCGUCGAUUUGUGGGUGAUAUGCCGUACUCAUUUUCAAUUUAGUGCCUUGCAUCUGCAAUAACUCUGUCUAAAAUCUGCUUGUGAAGACCCUAUCACGAUCACUUACAAUAGAUCUCGACAUCCCAUGCAAUUUUAUAAUAUUCUCCAUAAAGAUUCGAGCAAUACUAGAAGUGGUGUAGGGAUUAUGAACAGCGCAAAAGUGAGCAUACUUUGUAAGGCGAUCAACCACAACAAGAAUUGUACUUUUUCAUUGUGAUGAGGGAAGUCCUUCGAUGAAGUCCAUUGAUAUAUUAGUCCAUAUUGAGUCCGAGACGGGUAGAGGUUGCAGCUUUCCGGGGCUUGCCACUGUCUCGCCUUUAUGUCGUUGACAUACAUCACAUUGUGCCACAAAUUUAGUAAUAAUAUUUUUCAUCCCUACCCAAUAAAAAAUUUGCUUAAUUCUCUUAUAGGUUCUAAGGAACUCAGAGUGCCCGACCAUAGGUGUGGAAUGCAUCUUUGGAAGGAUGGUCUUUAUGCAAAUAGAAUUUGGCACAAGCACAAUGCGUUCCUUAGAGCGCAAUUCUUUUGAGUCCCAACUGUAAUGAGCCACGGAGCUUGGUGCUUCCUCCAAUUUUUUUAUGAUCUUACUGGUCUCCAAAUCUUCCUGCCAUUCCCUCUUAAUAUCCUCAAGGAAGUCGCUGGUCGGAAGUGAAACGAUAAAAAAAUUAGCUUGCUCGAGUAGCCGCGAAAGCACAUUUGUAACAACAUUCUAUCUUCUAGUCCAAGAAAUAUUUUAGGCUUUUAUGGUCGGUCUUGAUUUGAAAGUGUCGCUCGAUCAAGUACGAUCUCCAUUUGGUCACCGCACGCACAAUCGCGAGCAUCUUCUUAUCGUAAAUAAUCAUCUUGAGAUGGGAAGGAGAUAAUGCCUUACUGGUAUUUGGCUAUUAGCGAGGAGGCGACUAUCUUGCAUUAGUACAAUACUAAUUCCGACUCCGGAGGCAUCGACUUCAAUAACAAAAGUCUUGCCGAAGUCGGGUAGCGCUAGUACGGGCGUUGUCGUCAUUGUGGCUUUAAGUUCGUCGAAGGCGGUGGUGGCUUUGUCUGACCAUUGGAAAGCAUAUUUUUUCAGCAAGGAAGUAAGGGGUGUACUGAUCUUUCCAUAGUUUUUCAUGAACUUGUGGUAGUAGCCUGUUAAACCGAGAAAGCCGCGUAGCGAUUUUAUGUUCUUCGGGGUCGGCCAGUUCUGCAUUGUUUCAAUUUUGGAGGGGUCCACCGCCAUACCUUUCUCUGAUAUGAUAUGCCCAAGAUAUUCCACCUUAUGUUGAAGAAAGUUGCACUUCGAUUUUUUGAAAAAAAGAACAUGUUCUCGUAAAAUCGUUAAAACAAGUUGUAAGUGCUGAAAAAGACUUUCAAGAGAAGGGCUGUAAAUAAGGAUAUUGUCGAAGAAAACCAGUGCAAACUUACGAAGAUAAUUUCGAAAAAUAUCAUUCAUAAGGCUUUGGAAGGUCGAGGGAGCAUUGGUGAGACCAAAGGGCAUUACCAAAAAUUCGUAGUGGCCGUUGUGUGUUCGAAAGGCGGUUUUCGGUAUGUCUUCUUCGCACACUCGUAUUUGAUAAUACUCGGAUCGAAGGUCCAGCUUUGUGAAGACUCGUGCUCCCUUUAAUUCAUCAAGCAAUUUAUCUACUACUGGAAUAGAGUAUUUGUCCUUGACGAUUAUGUCGUUGAGAGCUCGGUAAUCAACGCACAUUUGCUAUGUUCCGUCCUUUCGUACGAGGAGCACUAGUGAAGAGUAGGGGUUGCAACUUGGCCGGAUAACUCCUGUUUCGAGCAUCUCUUUUACAAUCCUUUCUAUUUCAUUCUUCUGGAGAUAUGGAUACCGAUAUGGCCGAGUAUUUGCUGAAGGUUUGCCCGGAAGAAUCGAUAUAUAAUGAUUAUGCCGACGGGUAGGAGGUAGGUUGCACGGUUUGUUAAAUAUAUCUGAAAAAUCAGCAAGCAAAGGAAGUAGGUUUGGAUCUUUAAAUUCUGUUGGCUUUCCUUUAGUUUGCUGCUCAAGUUGUACUAAAAGCCACUGCAUGCUUUGUGGAAAACCUUCUCCAUUCGUUGUGUGUAAAUCGUCGUUACGUCGCUCCCACUUUCCCGUACAGUAUAAUCUGUUUCCCCUUACUGUAAAAUUUCAUAAUUAAUUUCGCAAAAUUCCAGGAGAUAUCACCUAAUGUCGUCAGCCAUUCGAUGCCGAGCAUGGCCUCAUAAUCAUUAAGAGGGAGGAGGAAGAAAUAUGCAAUUAUCUCUUGAUCCUACAGCAACAGUUUCACCCGCGGGCACCUAUGAUCACAUUUCAAAAUUCGUCUGUCGGCGACCUUAACGUCAAACCUGCUGCAGUUCUUGAUAGGUAAGGCCAUCCGGACAACAACCUUGCUGUUCAUAAAAUUAUUAGUGCUUCCGAUGUCAAUAAGAACAGUGAUAGGUUGUUGCUUCAAAAGUCCUCCCACUUUCAUCGUUUGCGGGUUCGCAUAACCGGCAAGGGCAUGCAUCGUAAUAUCGACCGACGGUUGAUCUUCAUCCGCGACCUCUUCCUCGUGCUCUUGGACCUCCUCCUCCAUGUCUUCAAGAGGUUCAAUCAGUAGGAUGCGACCCCUUUUGCAACGAUGAUCACGGUUCCACGGCUCGUCGCAAUGCCAACAAAGACUCUUUGCUGAUCGGUCACAUAGUUCUUCUCCUGUCAAUGUUUUUGGCAGCGAAGGACGGUUGGGAGCAGAAGGAGGUUUACAUGCCGCGGGCCUAGGAGAGGUUCUCAUCCUCCGAGCAUCUUGGUUGAGCCAUUCUUCUUAUAUUCGGGCAAAAGAAAUCGCAGCUGUCACGGUACGGGGCUGCCGCGCCUUAACUUCCCCUUUUAUCUCUGGCUUGAGUCAUUUGAUGAAUGUUCCUAACAAUUAACGGUCAGUCCAAUCACGAGCAAGGUAGGAUAGCUUCUUAAACCUGGUUUGGUACUCUUGAAUCGUAGAGGUUUCUCGAAUCUUUGUGAGUUGGCCAUCGAUGUUUUCAUACUCCGUAGGUCCGAAACAAUUCAGUAGUGCGUUCUUAAAUUGAUUCCACAUCGGAGCUCCAUGAUUGUAUUCCAGCCAAUUGUACCAUUUAAUAACAUCUCCUUCAAGGUGGAUGAUAGCAAUUUCCACCAUAGCAUCAUCCGACGUUCGAUAGUAGCGAAAGUAAAGUUCGGCACGCGAAAUCCACCCUGUCGGGUCUCCUUCCCAUCGCGGGAAGUCCACCCUCAUGCAUGGCUGAAGCAUGUCCGAGGGUUGUCCCUCCUUCUCUGGAGGCCUCUUUGAACUCUUUCCUUGCUGAAAUUUGGUUGGACUCGGCGGUUGUUCAAUUCUGAAUUCUGCAAACAAAGCGUGUAAUUUGUCCUCUAAGCGCGAAUCAAGUCGCGAUUCAAUCCGAGAUUCCCAUGCUUUAAAUUUGGCAUCAAUUGGAUCUUGAGAAGCCAUAGCAUUUGCUUGUAGAUCAAAGAUGUUCUUGUCUUUUUUCUAUUGACGGGUUAAUGGCAUGAGGUGGUGGAAGGUUCGGAAAAAUUGAGGAUUACGGAAAGGUACUGCAGCAGAUUUUUACGUCUAAAGUGUAGCAAUUUGGACGUAAAAGGUCAGUGGUUUAUAUUGAGAAUUUUUUGACGAAACCAAAGGGAAAUAUGCUACUAGGAAGUGUCAAAGCUGUCGUAAAAAUUUUGUAUUGAUUUGGACAGAAAAAACGCAGUAGCAAGAUCAAACAAACUGUGCUAUGCGGUUGGAAUUCUGCAGUGCAUCUAGCAGUUUGGACGUAAAAGAUCAGUGGUUUAUAUUGAGAAUUUUUUGACGAAACCAAAGGGAAAUCCGUUGUUAGGAAGUGUCAAAGCUGUCGUAAAAAUUUCGUAGAGAUUUAGACAAAAAAAACACAGUAGCAAGAUCAAACAAACUGUGCUAUGCGAUUGGAAUUCUGCAGUGCAUCUAGCAGUUUGGACGUAAAAGAUUAGUGGUUUAUAUUGAGAAUUUUUUGACGAAACCAAAGGGAAAUCCGCUGUUAGGAAGUGUCAAAGCUGUCAUAAAAAUUUCGUAGAGAUUUGAAUAGAAAAAAUGCAGUAGCAAGAUCAAACAAACUGUGUUAUGCCGUUGGAAUUCUGUAGUGCAUCUUUCGUCGUAGAGAUAAAAACUAUUCGACGAAAAGUUUAUGUAGCAAUAUAGGAACGUUUUUUUGGAUUUUUGAAUAAGGAUAACUAAAUUGCAGCAGUAGUAAGGUAGGAAACCAGAACUUGUUGCAAUUCACAGGGAGAUCAAAGGAUGAUCCGUGGUGGUGGAGAUGACGGCGGAAUUCGGUGACGAUCUUUUAAGCAAUUGUGGGAAUUGCUUUGGACGGCUGUGGAGGGCUGAUGGAUGGCUGUGGAAGGGCAACGAGACGCCAAGAACGGUGCUCCGAUACCAAGUGUUAGAACCCUAGCGGAUUCUAAGCUUGGGGUUGAUUUUUUUAGGGGAUCGGCCUCCUUGGAACUCUAUAGGGGUUCCUUCCUCCAAGUUGCUGCUUAAAGGUUGCUAAGAAGAUUCAUCCAUUGUUUGUCAAAAGAGGAUGAAUACAUGACUAUUUAUAGGGCUUCUAAACCCUAACUCCUAAUAGGACUCCUACUCAAGACUCCUACUUCUAACUAACUCCUAAUAAGACUCCUACUCUCAGAAGCAACCUCCCAACUAACCCUAACCCUAGCCGGCCUCUUCACCUCUUUAAUAGGGGUCGGUUAGGUAGGUUUUACAUGAAUGCCCCUUUCAAUAAAAUUCAAUUAGGACUCUCCUAGCUAGAGUCCUAACACAUGGCUAUGAGACUGUCAGUCAUGAUAGGUGUCUACCUAGGCAGACCAUAAGAAGAAGUCACGUUUCUUGUGGGAGGCCCGUGAUCACAUACAACUAAUGCAAAGAUAGUCGAGACAAUUUGCUUAAACUUAAGUGGCAUAAGAAUCAUUGACUCGGUAGGAUCAACAUCAUGGACAACUGAUACGGGAGUCACCUUUGACACAAUUUGCAUUGAAGUCACUGGCAUGAAAAGGCCGAUGUCACGUGCAGUUGGCACAAUAGUCGAGGGGAUCUCCAUUGACAUAGGUGAGACAGGAGCCAUUGGCUGCUUUGAGACCCAUUUAGUUGUGUUUAUAGCAGUUCUUGAUAGCAUGUCCAAAGAUAUUAAAAAGUGAACAUCUCACCAGUUUUCAAUCAUACGCUAAUCUAACAAUAUAGUCUUUGGCAUCGCUAAGGGAAAAGCGCAGGAUAUCAGGAAGAUCUGAAGUAGUGAAACCUUUAUACACACUUGUGCAAAUCCAAUGCGUUCCUUAGUACUAGUGAGCCGAUCCAUAAAUAAAAGCUUCCCAAUGCCGCUAGUAAUAGUUCUAAGAAAUUUGGGAGUCCACAUAGAAAAAGGAAGGUUGAAUAUUUUUACCCGGAUUGGAAUAGUAUAAAAGUCGAUCUUCUCGAGCUGAAAAUCAUGUUCCCAAGGUUAGAGAAUGAGGAGUUUGUUAUGAAUUUACUAGGGGCUAGAUUCAAGCACUCUAGUAAGAUUAUCUUGGUCUCCAAAGUGGAAAAUAAGAAAACCAGUGUCCAUAGAGAGAACAUCCAAGGAAUCAUAUGACUUCCUUAAUGCAUGUACCCGAUUCUUAACUAUAAGGAAGGGCGGACGAGAGCCGAUAAAAUAACCAAUUAGAGAAUUCUUCCUGUACUCUUACCCCUCAAGGAUUACCUCCUUAGAAGGUUGAACUUUGAGAACUCCAUCAUGUGUGAAUGAGGGAGGUGCAUGAAAUAAAGAAAACCCCUGUGGCAUGGAACUUGGAGUGAACAUGGAGCUCCGUGCUAUUUGUGCCGAGCCCUUGCAUUUGCUCGAUGGACAAGGGGAGCAAGGUAUAGAAGCUGACACUGCAGCAGCAAUAGAGGUGGGCGUACACAAGGAUGAUGGAGGUGGGACCCACAUGGAGGAGGCCACUAGCGGGAAGGAAAACGUUGUGGUUCCCAGCGAUGAACCACCACCAGCAACAAACUCGGGGAGUGCAACUCUGCCAUUUUAAGCAGCAGGGACCCACAC
rnacentral:lncRNA from 1 species